GAAUAAAUUUUACCUAAACUUAUGGUGAAAAUGCCAUUUCAUUGUUUUUUUUUGUCGUUGUUUUUUGAGACAGGGUUUCUCUGUAUAGCCCUGGCUGUCCUAGAACUCACUCUGUAGACUAGGCUGGCCUUGAACUCAGAAAUCUGCCUGCCUCUGCCUCCCAAGUGCUGGGAUUAAAGGCGUGUACCACUCGCCGGGCCAUUUCAUUGUUCUUAACCAUCUUAAAAAUAUGCAGUUUAGAAACCUCAGAUAACAACAGGUAAAAUAGAGUAUGCACCCAGUUUUUGUCUUAAUAUACAUCUUAAAUAUUUUCCCAUCUUUCCUCUAAAUAAUUUAAUGGUUUUAUAAUAUUUCAUCAUAUGGUUACAAAUUUGUAUAACCAUCUAUUCUUGUUUGUUUGUUUGUGACAAGACCUCUACAUAGCCCUGGCUGUCCUGGAACUAUGUAGAUCAAGCUGCCAUCAGCUCACAGAGAUCUGUCUGCCUCUGCCUCCUGAGUGCUGGGACUAAAGAUAUGAGCCACCAUACCAGGCUUAGUUAUUGGUAAUUGAGACAGAGUCUUUCUACAUAGUCCUGGUGCCCUGGAACUCACUAUGUGUAGGUAGGCUGCCCUUGAACUUGACCUGCCUGCCCCCCCCUUACCCCCCAAGUGGUAGGAUUAAGGGCUUGUGUCCCCUUGCCUGGCCGUAUAACCAUUUAUUUUGUCCUUUAUGAAAAUAAACAGCCGGGCUGUGAUGGCUCACAUCUUUAAUCUCAGCACUCUGGAGGUAGAGGCAGGUAGAUGAUCUGUGAGUUGGAGGAGAGCCAGGGCUACAGGGAGGAAAAAAAACAGCAUAUGGCCCUUUUCACUAUUAUAACAGAAGUUAUAACCAUUAGUAUAUAUAAUCCAACCUCUCUGUAUUUGGGGUUAUUUUGUAUAGAUAUAGUACAGUUUAUAAUUUGAGUCAGAAAGUAUAAAUCCGAUUAAAUUCUUUGAAUGUUUUUGCUUGAUUGUAGCUCCAAGGAGAAAGUCGAUGUCCUAGAACAUGAGUGAGUGAGCCAGUGUGAUUAGGGCCCCAGGGGGGAAUGUAGGUGACCUAGAGAGCCUAGUGAGCUGGUGUUGUGGCCUCAGGGGGGAAGCUGAGUCUCCUUGAGAGCCCUGUCAGCAAGUGUUAGCUUCUAUCCUCUUUCUUCAAUGGGAUUGUUUCUUUUUCACCAGCUUUGAAAUUUCUAAGAAGUUGACAGUUGACAUUUCUACCAGAAGAGUUGGUUUUUGUCCUUACAAGCAACAGGCUCUUCAUUAUCUUUCUUUCAGAGCUAUUGUUGAUGCAGUCGUGUAAAAGCACAGAGUUCAGCAGAUGUGGGAGCGUAGUGCAUUAAGUCACCUCCUAGGCGAUAUUCAAACUUUUAUUUUUAAACUGUCAGGGGUCUUUGAUGACUCAUAAAUGAGAGAAAUGUUCUCCAUAAAGACCUGUAUUUCUUUCCUCUUAAACCUAACUUGUUUUAUUUAAUCAUAUAGGUUUUUAAAAAAUUAUUGAUUUUAAUAUAUGCACAAAGACCAGUUUGGUGAGUCUACUAGGAAAUAAUUUUAAAGCUAUUGGAAAGACUAUAAUCAUGCGUAGAUUUUUUUGACUUUAUGUAAAACUGUAACCUUUAAAAGUUUUAUUAGCAUAUAUUGAUAUGUAAUGGGUUUCAUGAUGACAUUUUCCUAUGUGAUUCCUGGCAAUCUCCUUGUUCCUACCUAGUCCCCUUCUAUUUUCUUGUAAGAAUAUGCUUUUUCUUUUUCCUUUUCUUNNNNNNUUUCUUUUUCUUUUUCUUUUUCUUUUUCUUUUUCUUUUUCUUUCUCUUUCUCUUUCUUUCUCUUUCUCUUUCUCUUUCUCUCUUUUUCUCUUUCUCUUUCUCUUUUUCUCUUUCUUUCUCUCUCUUUUCUUUUUCUUUUUCUUUUCCUUUCUUUUUCUUUUUCUUUUUCUUUUUCCUUUUCUGAGACAGGGUGUCAGUGUGUAGACCAGGCUGGCCUUGAACUCACAGAACUGAGCUUAAAGGCAUGUGUCAUCACUCCUUGCAAGAAUACAGUCUCUUUGGUAUUAUUUUACUCUACCUCGUAAUUGUAACUAUUUAGUUCAAGAAUCUAGAAGUUUUAACAAGGAAAAAGGAAAAGAAAGUCUUGUGUGCUGUCAUAGAGCACUUACAUAGAGCUCUUGUGCUUUAUUUAGCAUCCCUUAGAAUUUUACUCAGAGCCAAUUUAAAUUGUACUUUAUGAUUAUAACCACACGAGAGUGAGACGGAAGGGCAUCAUUGUAUGUAUGCCCUUUACCCUAACAGUUGAAUUGUUAUUUUCAUCUUUGUUUAUUAUUAUACAGUAUUAAGUGUAUUUGUUUGUUUUUCUAGCCUGUGGUAGAUUAGAAACCAGUUGAGAAGGAUAUGGAUAACUCAGGGAUAGAGCCGUCAUUCUGGAGCUACUGAAGGUUUACACACUCAGUUUAACUUGGCGCAGCCCAUAUGUUCUUACAUGUGAAGAUUGCUGCCAAGAAAUGGCAAAAUAAGAUUUAAGUUUUCUGCUUAAGGACACAGAAAAGUUAACAAUUUAAAUUAGAUAAUUUUAAAGCAGCCUUGUCAGAACCUUAUCUAUAUAUCUGCACUUAUGUUAAUGUUACAGUUUAUCUGCAGAAUUCCCAAAAGGAAAAAAUUUAUCUUUGCCAACAAUCUCCCUACCCAGAUGGAGACACUGGUCAAAUCCUGGUGUAUUUUAACUAGCAACUCAGAUACUUAAAUAUACACUUUAAGAGCCUUUUAUAAGGCCAGCCAGAUAGCCUGCCUCCUUCCCUCCCUCCUUCCUUCCCUCAUUCCCUCAUUCUUCUGAUUUUUGAUUUUUCAAUGUAGCCCUAGCUGUCCUGGAACUUGCUUUAUAAACCAGGCUGGUCUCUAAUUUAUAGAGAUCUGCCUCCUGAGUGCUGGUACUAAAGGUGUGUACUGCCACCACCACUAUCCGAGCUCAUUCCUAUCUUCAUAAAAUAAAAAUACUUCCUAAGUUAGAGUGACAAGAAGUUGAUAGUUCCUAGAUUAGUAAGUGGCUAGCUAAGACUUGGCUCUUGGAAUCCUCAUCGCACCGUUAGAAGGUGUUGAUUCAGGGAAGCCUGUCAGAGUAGAAGACUUAGGACCUGGCAGCCUAGGUGAAUGAACAACUUUGGUGAUUUAUCUUUUUGGUUGUGAGCCAUCUCUCUCGUCCUAGCUCUUGUAAUCUAGACAACCGAUAUAUACGUGCUUUCUUUAUCUUUAUCUCAUUUCUUCUAUGUAUGCUCAAUCUUUUGUGUUAUAGGUUCAACAGGAGCCAGAAAAGUUAGUUAUAUUAUGAGCAAAAUGUUACAUAUGUUAUUGUAAAAUCUGGUGUAAAAAUAGUGGUCAAUGGCCGGGCAGUGGCGGCGCACGCCUUUAACCCCAGCACUUGGGAGGCAGAGGCAGGCGGAUUUCUGAGUUCGAGGCCAGCCUGGUCUACAGAAUGAGUUCCAGGACAGCCAGGGCUAUAUAGAGAAACCCUGUCUCGAAAAACAAAACAAAAAACAAAAAAACAAAACAAAAAAAGUGGUCAAUGAAUAGUUUCAUAUUUCUUUUUUAAAAACCCCCACAAAGAAGUCUAUAGAACAUUUUUAAAAGUUUCUAAAAUCAGUAAGAUUUGGUUUAUAAGAUGUCUGGAAAAUGCACUUGCUUGGAACCUUAGUGUUUUACUUUCUGAUCGUGAGAUACUAAGACUUGCAGGUUUUGUUUUGUUUUGUUUUGUUUUUAAAUUUUAGUCAAGAUCUCACUGUGUAGUCCUGGUUGACCCAGAACUCACUGUGUAGACCAGGCUGGCUUCAAAGUCACAGAGAUCUGCCUGCCCCUGCCUCUUGAAUGCUGGGAUUAAAGGUGUGCACCACUGUGUCCAGAUUCAGAAUAUUUUUGUUGUUGCUUGCUUUUUUUAAAAAAAAGAUUUGUUUAUUGUAUGUAUAUGAGCACGUUGUAGCUGUACUGAUAGUUGUGAGCUAUCAUGUGGUUACUGGGAAUUUGAAUUCAGAACCUCUGCUUGAUCUGGUUGGCCCCACUCGCUUUGGCCUAAAGAUUUAUUUGUUAUUUUAUCUAAGUACACUGUCGCUGUCUUCAGAUCACCAGCAGAGGGCAUCAGAUCUCAUGGUUGGUUUUGAGCCAGCAUGUGGUUGCUGGGAUUUGAACUCAGGACCUUCGGAAGAGCAGUCAGGGCUCUUAACUGCUGAGCCAUCUCUCCAGCCCUGUUGCUUGCUUUUUGUUCUUGUUUUGAUAAAAGGUCUCGCUAUGUAGAUCUGGUUGGUAUAGAACUUGCUAUGGAGUGCAGGCUGGCUUCAUUAACAGAUCCUCUUCUGCCUCCUGAGUGCUAGAACUAAAGGUAUCCACCAACCACCACACCUAAGUGAGACCUGUUGUCUUUAUAAAUAUGUUUCUUCUAUAUGUACAUUUACUAUGUAUUUUCUAAUGCCAGCUAUUCGUAAGUGAUAAAUAAAAAACAGCAAGGUAGCUGGGCAUGGUGGUGCAGGCCUUUAAUCUCAGCACUUGAGAGGCAGAUGCAGGUAUAUCUCUGAGUUGGAGGCCAGCUUGGUGUUUUGAGGUGGAGGGGUUUAGGACAGUAACACAGAGACACCCUGUCUCAAAAAGCAACAGC
ensembl:sense_intronic Gm38190 predicted gene, 38190